GUCGAGCGCAUCCUUCGGGACGAGCGGCGGACGGGUGAGUAACGCGUGGGAAUGUGCCCUUCUCUACGGAAUAGCCACUGGAAACGGUGAGUAAUACCGUAUACGCCCUAAGGGGGAAAGAUUUAUCGGAGAAGGAUCAGCCCGCGUUAGAUUAGGUAGUUGGUGGGGUAACGGCCUACCAAGCCUACGAUCUAUAGCUGGUUUUAGAGGAUGAUCAGCCACACUGGGACUGAGACACGGCCCAGACUCCUACGGGAGGCAACAGUAGGGAAUCUUGGACAAUGGGGGAAACCCUGAUCCAGCCAUGCCGCGUGAGUGAAGAAGGCCUUAGGGUCGUAAAGCUCUUUCGCCUGUGAUGAUAAUGACAGUAGCAGGUAAAGAAACCCCGGCUAACUCCGUGCCAGCAGCCGCGGUAAUACGGAGGGGGUUAGCGUUGUUCGGAAUUACUGGGCGUAAGCGCGCGUAGGCGGAUUGGAAAGUUGGGGGUGAAAUCCCGGGGCUCAACCCCGGAACUGCCUCCAAAACUGCCAGUCUAGAGUUCGAGAGAGGUGAGUGGAACUCCAAGUGUAGAGGUGAAAUUCGUAGAUAUUUGGAAGAACACCAGUGGCGAAGGCGGCUCACUGGCUCGAUACUGACGCUGAGGUGCGAAAGUGUGGGGAGCAAACAGGAUUAGAUACCCUGGUAGUCCACACCGUAAACGAUGAAUGCCAGUCGUCGGGUAGUAUACUAUUCGGUGACACACCUAACGGAUUAAGCAUUCCGCCUGGGGAGUACGGUCGCAAGAUUAAAACUCAAAGGAAUUGACGGG
rnacentral:rRNA from 1 species